rnacentral:pre_miRNA from 15 species
CGCUCCGUUUCCUUUUGCCUGAUUCCAGGCUGAGGUAGUAGUUUGUACAGUUUGAGGGUCUAUGAUACCACCCGGUACAGGAGAUAACUGUACAGGCCACUGCCUUGCCAGGGACAGCGCACCAACUACCGAACUGGG